GACCUCCGUGUGCUCAGUCCCCAUGUCACGAUCUGAAAUGACAGAGGGCAAGCACGUGAAGUGGCCGAAGCUGGUGCGGCCGGGGGCUCCAGCCCGAGGGUCUGCUCUACGCUACGGGGCACUGGAAACCGGGGCUGACCAUCCAAAAGGGGACAGUGGCUGGGCCAGCCCCAGAACCAAAGGAAGUCCUCCUGGCUCGCUUACAUCGGGCGGAGUCGUGUGCAGCUUAAUCGUCUCCAGACGGUCAGUGCGUUGCGUCCAGCCCUACUGUUCUCUUCCCUACUGACGCGAGAUGCUGCCGUGCCACAGCCCAGAGGUCGACGUAGGGGUCAACGUCUAGAUGCCAUAUAGUUCCAGGACCUGUCUACUCCUUCCCUGGUACCAGAGCCUCAACCUACUGUAGCUUUCUUUACUGGACUCUUCACUAUGUUGGACAAAGUUCUGUCUCAGUCUUCUUUUCCAGACGCUUCCUGUCCACGCUCCUACUUCUCCAGAUCAAUUUUAGUACAAUUCUGUAAAAUUCCCAAACGUA